rnacentral:rRNA from 1 species
GGGUUGUGAGGUUAAGCGACUAAGCGUACACGGUGGAUGCCCUGGCAGUCAGAGGCGAUGAAGGACGUGCUAAUCUGCGAAAAGCGCCGGCGAGGUGAUAUGAACCUUUGACCCGGCGAUGUCCGAAUGGGGAAACCCAGUGCAAUCCGUUGCACUAUCGUUAACUGAAUACAUAGGUUAACGAGGCGAACCGGGGGAACUGAAACAUCUAAGUACCCCGAGGAAAAGAAAUCAACCGAGAUUCCCCCAGUAGCGGCGAGCGAACGGGGAGCAGCCCGGAGUCUGAAUCAGCUUGUGUGUUAGUGGAACGGUCUGGAAAGUCCGACGGUACAGGGUGAUAGUCCCGUACACGAAAGCACACAUGCUGUGAACUCGAAGAGUAGGGCGGGACACGUGGUAUCCUGUCUGAAUAUGGGGGGACCAUCCUCCAAGGCUAAAUACUCCUGACUGACCGAUAGUGAACCAGUACCGUGAGGGAAAGGCGAAAAGAACCCCGGCGAGGGGAGUGAAAAAGAACCUGAAACCGUGUACGUACAAGCAGUGGGAGCACCUUCGGGUGUGACUGCGUACCUUUUGUAUAAUGGGUCAGCGACUUAUAUUCUGUAGCAAGGUUAACCGUAUAGGGGAGCCGAAGGGAAACCGAGUCUUAACUGGGCGUUAAGUUGCAGGGUAUAGACCCGAAACCCGGUGAUCUAGCCAUGGGCAGGUUGAAGGUUGGGUAACACUAACUGGAGGACCGAACCGACUAAUGUUGAAAAAUUAGCGGAUGACCUGUGGCUGGGGGUGAAAGGCCAAUCAAACCGGGAGAUAGCUGGUUCUCCCCGAAAGCUAUUUAGGUAGCGCCUCGUGAAUUCAUCUUCGGGGGUAGAGCACUGUUUCGGCUAGGGGGCCAUCCCGGCUUACCAACCCGAUGCAAACUACGAAUACCGAAGAAUGUUAUCACGGGAGACACACGGCGGGUGCUAACGUCCGUCGUGAAGAGGGAAACAACCCAGACCGCCAGCUAAGGUCCCAAAGUCAUGGUUAAGUGGGAAACGAUGUGGGAAGGCACAGACAGCCAGGAUGUUGGCUUAGAAGCAGCCAUCAUUUAAAGAAAGCGUAAUAGCUCACUGGUCGAGUCGGCCUGCGCGGAAGAUGUAACGGGGCUAAACCAUGCACCGAAGCUGCGGCAGCGACACUAUGUGUUGUUGGGUAGGGGAGCGUUCUGUAAGCCGUUGAAGGUGUCCUGUGAGGGGUGCUGGAGGUAUCAGAAGUGCGAAUGCUGACAUAAGUAACGAUAAAGCGGGUGAAAAGCCCGCUCGCCGGAAGACCAAGGGUUCCUGUCCAACGUUAAUCGGGGCAGGGUGAGUCGACCCCUAAGGCGAGGCCGAAAGGCGUAGUCGAUGGGAAACAGGUUAAUAUUCCUGUACUUGGUGUUACUGCGAAGGGGGGACGGAGAAGGCUAUGUCAGCCGGGCGACGGUUGUCCCGGUUUAAGCAUGUAGGCGGAGGUUCCAGGUAAAUCCGGUACCUUAUUAACGCUGAGGUGUGAUGACGAGGCACUACGGUGCUGAAGUGAUAAAUGCCCUGCUUCCAGGAAAAGCCUCUAAGCAUCAGGUAACACGAAAUC